GUGGUUAUAGCUCAGUGGCAGAGUGCAUGCUUAGCAUACUUGAGGUCCUGGGUUCAAUCCCCAGUACCUCCA
rnacentral:tRNA from 1 species